rnacentral:rRNA from 1 species
CGUGUAGGCGGCGGAUUUAGUUGGGCGUGAAAGCCCCGGGCUCAACCUGGGAACUGCGCUCAAUACUGAUUUGCUAGAGUCCGGGAGAGGCGAGUGGAAUAUCCAGUGUAGAGGUGAAAUUCGUAGAUAUUGGAUGGAACACCGAUGGCGAAGGCAGCUCGCUGGACCGGAACUGACGCUGAGUCGCGAAAGCGUGGGGAGCAAACA